AUUGAACGCUGGCGGCAUGCCUUACACAUGCAAGUCGAACGCGAAAGGGGGGCAACCCCUUAGUAGAGUGGCGAACGGGUGAGUAAUACAUCGGAACGUGUCCAGUAGCGGGGGAUAACCUCUCGAAAGAGAGGCUAAUACCGCAUACGACCUACGGGUGAAAGAGGGGGAUCGCAAGACCUCUCACUAUUGGAGUGGCCGAUGUCGGAUUAGCUAGUUGGCGGGGUAACGGCCCACCAAGGCUACGAUCCGUAGCUGGUCUGAGAGGACGACCAGCCACACUGGAACUGAGACACGGUCCAGACUCCUACGGGAGGCAGCAGUGGGGAAUUUUGGACAAUGGGCGCAAGCCUGAUCCAGCCAUGCCGCGUGAGUGAAGAAGGCCUU
rnacentral:rRNA from 1 species